rnacentral:tRNA from 1 species
AGGUAUGUAGCUCAGUUGGUUAGAGUACCACCUUGACAUGGUGGGGGUCGUUGGUUCGAAUCCAAUCAUACCUACCA